rnacentral:rRNA from 1 species
GACGAACGCUGGCGGCGUGCUUAACACAUGCAAGUCGAGCGGUAAGGCCCUUUCGGGGGUACACGAGCGGCGAACGGGAGAGUAACACGUGGGUGACCUGCCCUCAGCUCUGGGAUAAGCCUGGGAAACCGGGUCUAAUACUGGAUAUGACUCCAUGACGCAUGUUGUGGGGUGGAAAGCCUUGUGCGGCUGAGGAUGGGCCCGCGGCCUAUCAGCUUGUUGGUGGGGUGANGGCCUACCAAGGCGACGACGGGUAGCCGGCCUGAGAGGGCGACCGGCCACACUGGGACUGAGACACGGCCCAGACUCCUACGGGAGGCAGCAGUGGGGAAUCUUGCGCAAUGGGCGAAAGCCUGACGCAGCGACGCCGCGUGAGGGAUGACGGCCU